rnacentral:piRNA from 1 species
UGUGCUUUGGCGUUCUCUGCCCUGCCCCC